rnacentral:rRNA from 1 species
UGGGUUUGACAUGGAUCGGGAGUGCUCAGAGAUGGGUGUGCCUCUUUUGGGGUCGGUUCACAGGUGGUGCAUGGCUGUCGUCAGCUCGUGUCGUGAGAUGUUGGGUUAAGUCCCGCAACGAGCGCAACCCUUGUUCACUGUUGCCAGCACGUUAUGGUGGGGACUCAGUGGAGACCGCCGGGGUCAACUCGGAGGAAGGUGGGAUGACGUCAAGUCAUCAUGCCCCUUAUGUCCG